rnacentral:rRNA from 1 species
AUUGAACGCUGGCGGCAUGCUUUACACAUGCAAGUCGAACGGCAGCGCGGGCUUCGGCCUGGCGGCGAGUGGCGAACGGGUGAGUAAUACAUCGGAACGUGCCCAGCAGAUGGGGAUAGCUCGGCGAAAGCCGGAUUAAUACCGCAUACGACCUGAGGGUGAAAGCGGGGGAUCUUCGGACCUCGCGCUAUUGGAGCGGCCGAUGGCAGAUUAGCUAGUUGGUGGGGUAAAGGCCUACCAAGGCGACGAUCUGUAGCUGGUCUGAGAGGACGACCAGCCACACUGGGACUGAGACACGGCCCAGACUCCUACGGGAGGCAGCAGUGGGGAAUUUUGGACAAUGGGCGAAAGCCUGAUCCAGCAAUGCCGCGUGUGUGAUGAAGGCCUUCGGGUUGUAAAGCACUUUUGGCGGGAACGAAAAGGACUGUGCCAAUACCACGGUUCGAUGACGGUACCCGCAGAAUAAGCACCGGCUAACUACGUG